rnacentral:rRNA from 1 species
UAGGGAAUCUUCCACAAUGGACGAAAGUCUGAUGGAGCAACACCGCGUGAGUGAAGAAGGGUUUCGGCUCGUAAAACACUGUUGUAAGAGAAGAAUGACAUUGAGAGUAACUGUUCAAUGUGUGACGGUAUCUUACCAGAAAGGAACGGCUAAAUACGUGCCAG